rnacentral:rRNA from 1 species
CAUGAACGCUAGCGGCGUGCUUAACACAUGCAAGUCGUACGAGAACUCUUUAGCUUGCUAAAGAUAGUAAAGUGGCGCACGGGUGAGUAACGCGUGGGUAAUCUACCUCUGAAUUUGGGAUAACUCCGCGAAAGCGGGGCUAAUACCGGAUAAUAUUUCAGGAUCUUCGGGUCUUGAAAUCAAAAGUGGCCUCUACAUGUAAGCUACUGUUUGGAGAUGAGCCCGCGUGCCAUUAGCUUGUUGGUAGGGUAAUGGCCUACCAAGGCUACGAUGGUUAGCUGGUCUGAGAGGAUGAUCAGCCACACUGGAACUGACACACGGUCCAGACUCUACGGGAGGCAGCAGUGAGGAAUUUUGCGCAAUGGGGGAAACCCUGACGCAGCAACGCCGCGUGAGUGAUGAAGGCUUUCGAGUCGUAAAGCUCUGUCAAGUGGGAAGAACAUGAUAAAUGUUAAUAUCAUUUUUCACUGACGGUACCACUAAAGGAAGCACCGGCUAACUCCGUGCCAGCAGCCGCGGUAAUACGGGGGGUGCAAGCGUUAUUCGGAAUUAUUGGGCGUAAAGAGCGCGUAGGCGGUCUUUUAAGUCAGAUGUGAAAGCCCGGGGCUUAACCCCGGAAGUGCAUUUGAAACUAAAGGACUUGAGUAUGGGAGAGGGAAGUGGAAUUCCUGGUGUAGGGGUGAAAUUCGUAGAUAUCAGGAGGAACACCGGUGGCGAAGGCGACUUCCUGGACCAAUACUGACGCUGAGGCGCGAAGGCGUGGAGAGCAAACAGGAUUAGAUACCCUGGUAGUCCACGCAGUAAACGAUGAACACUAGGUGUAGCGGGUAUUGACCCCUGCUGUGCCGCAGUUAACGCAUUAAGUGUUCCCGCCUUGGGGAGUCGAACCGCAAGGUUAAAACUCAAAGGGAUUGAACGGG